UCGAGAAUAUUCCACAAUGGGCGAAAGCCUGAUGGAGCGACGCCGCGUGCAGGAAGAAGGCCUUCGGGUUGUAAACUGCGGUAGUCAGGGAAAAUUUUUGGAUGGUACCUGACGGAAAGAGGCGGGUAACUACGUGCCAGCACCAGCGGUAAUACGUAGGCCUCAAGCGUUAUCCGGAUUUAUUGGGCGUAAAGCGAGUGUAGGAGGUUUCGUGCGUUUUUGGUUAAAGCCCACCGCCUAACGGUGGAAGUGCCGGAAAUACGACGAGACUAGAGGGGGUUAGAGGUGCAUGGAACACACGGUGUAGGGGUGAAAUCCGUUGAUAUCGUGUGGAACACCAAAGGCGAAGGCAGUGCACUAGGACCUUCCUGACUCUGAGACUCGAAAGCGUGGGGAGCAA
rnacentral:rRNA from 1 species